GAGUUUGAUCAUGGCUCAGGAUGAACGCUAGCUACAGGCUUAACACAUGCAAGUCGAGGGGCAGCAUGAAAGUUUGCUUGCAAACUUUUGAUGGCGACCGGCGCACGGGUGAGUAACACGUAUCCAACCUGCCUCAUACUCGGGGAUAGCCUUUCGAAAGAAAGAUUAAUACCCGAUGUCAUAGUCCUACCGCAUGAUGGGAUUAUUAAAGAAUUUCGGUAUGGGAUGGGGAUGCGUUCCAUUAGUUAGUUGGCGGGGUAACGGCCCACCAAGACGACGAUGGAUAGGGGUUCUGAGAGGAAGGUCCCCCACAUUGGAACUGAGACACGGUCCAAACUCCUACGGGAGGCAGCAGUGAGGAAUAUUGGUCAAUGGACGAGAGUCUGAACCAGCCAAGUCGCGUGAGGGACGACGGCCCUAUGGGUUGUAAACUUCUUUUAUAUGGGAAUGAAACGUUCCACGUGUGGGAUUUUGUAUGUACCAUAUGAAUAAGGAUCGGCUAACUCCGUGCCAGCAGCCGCGGUAAUACGGAGGAUCCGAGCGUUAUCCGGAUUUAUUGGGUUUAAAGGGAGCGUAGGUGGAUUGUUAAGUCAGUUGUGAAAGUUUGCGGCUCAACCGUAAAAUUGCAGUUGAAACUGGCAGUCUUGAGUACAGUAGAGGUGGGCGGAAUUCGUGGUGUAGCGGUGAAAUGCUUAGAUAUCACGAAGAACUCCGAUUGCGAAGGCAGCUCACUGGACUGCAACUGACACUGAGGCUCGAAAGUGUGGGUAUCAAACAGGAUUAGAUACCCUGGUAGUCCACACAGUAAACGAUGAAUACUCGCUGUUUGCGAUAUACAGCAAGCGGCCAAGCGAAAGCAUUAAGUAUUCCACCUGGGGAGUACGCCGGCAACGGUGAAACUCAAAGGAAUUGACGG
rnacentral:rRNA from 1 species